CCCUUCAGCUUCCCCGUGCGGGCCGAGGAGUACGUCGCGGCCACACCGAGGAAGCUGAGCAGGCUCAACCACUUCAGCGUCGUCGUGGAUGAGAAGGAGAACGGCUCAUCGGAGCUCAACGGCGACGAACUGGACGACGGACCUGAUCAGCCGCCGCCGCCGCAGCAGCAGCAGCUAGGCCUUCAGCAACGGGCGCUCCUGAGGUCGCUGAGCAGGGCGGACAGGGUGGGGCUGGUCUGGCCGGAGCAGCCGCUGGACCUGCUCCCUCCGCGCGCCAUGAACGCCGCGUCGUCGUUCAAGGCGUCCAAGUCGUUCAAAUCGUUCAGGGGUUCGUUUCGGUCCCGUGUGGCCGACGCGGCGGCGGCGGACGACCUGCCCAUGAUCCCGGACCUCGACCUGGACCUGGACGGCGCGCUGCGGAAGAAGAGCCGGUCGCCGUUCGUACGGAUCGUGAGCAAGCAGAUGGUGGGGAUCUUCCUGACGGUGUGGGUGCGGCGUGGCCUGAGAAAGUGCGUCCA
rnacentral:lncRNA from 1 species